rnacentral:rRNA from 1 species
UACGUAGGGUCCAAGCGUUGUCCGGAGUUACUGGGCGUAAAGAGCGCGCAGGCGGUCGUUCAAGUCGAGUGUGAAAGCCCCCGGCUCAACUGGGGAGGGUCACUCGAUACUGAUCGACUCGAAGGCAGGAGAGGGUAGUGGAAUUCCCGGUGUAGUGGUGAAAUGCGCAGAUAUCAGGAGGAACACCAAUGGCGAAGGCAGCUCGCUGGGACGUGACUGACGCUGAGACGCGAAAGCGUGGGGAGCAAACAGG